rnacentral:lncRNA from 1 species
GAACUAAAACCAACUCUAGAGGCAAAGGUCUGGAGACCCAAGUACUUAGCAUUAAAAUCUUCCUGGUCUUCUCUGUAGGUGAAGCCCUGGUUGCUGUCUCAGGUCUGUGCCAAGGCACAGAGCUUUAGAGUCAAUUCCUGAUGCUGAUUCCCCGGAGAAAAGAGGACAAAGCAAAACAAACCAAAGUGUUGCAGUGGCCUGGAGACCCUGAGUUCAGUCAGACUGGGUAUUAGAUCUUCAUUACAGAACUAAGGAACCCCAGGGACUUUCAUUGCUAAACCGAGGCCAAUACAAAGAAUCUCUCUAAGCCACAUGUAUCAAGCAAGCCCUAAGGAGCCUUGAGUCUUCACGCCAACGCAGGUUGUGGUUACAAGGUCAACAGAGGUACAAGCUUGCUUUGCAAGAAAGAGGAUGCUCACUUACUUUACCCAGCAUCUUUUAACUAGAGGCCCUAUAUUUGUUUUUGAAAACGUGUGUGUGUGUGUGUGUUUCUGUCUGUCAUCCCCUUCUAAAGACUCAGAGCUAUCUCCAAAAUGUGAGACCCACACAGAAAUCUUAACAAAGUCCUGACAGGAACAGGAAACUCUCUCUGGUCCUGUGAAACUUACAGGGGUAAGAGUCAAAUAGAGUAGAAUAUCAUUUAUUACCUGGAGAUAGUAAAAUAAGGAACUGAGGUUAAUAAAUAUCAUCUUGCCUCAGACCUUAAGCCCCUCUAAAGGCCAUAUUUGCAAAAUCUUUUGAUUUAGGAUGAGAUUAGUUUCCAGGGGAUAUUCCUGUCCUCUGUGGAGAAGCUCCCUGGGCUCUGAAGGCAGCGCCUCCCCUCUCUUUGGAAGGUCUCAUGCUGACAGCUGUCCCAGUAGAUUUGUGUGGAACACUCUGAGCAAGGCUUGUUGUCACAUCUGAGUCCCACAUGCUGAGUAAAACCCUCUGCCAAUGGCAUGUACACUCUAACUGCUGAGACGGGGGACAACCCUGUUGAUGGAAAGAAUGACAGAUUGUGCACAUCACACACACACACACACACACACACACACACACCCUCAGGCAUCUAAAUAUGUUGCCAAUCUUACCUAAGCACUGAAGAUGAAAUUCCUGAACUCCCCCUUUAUCUUUUAAUUAUUCUUAGGACGACUCCAUUCUUGCAGAAGGUGACUUGUGUCUGUGCCGUUCCUUCUGCCUCACCUGUAUCUUAUUAAUCUUUCUGCCCCUAUCUUGCCUCAUAAAUAGCUUUCCACGGUUCUCUGACUUAAGGCAACUUUACUUCUGG